rnacentral:rRNA from 1 species
AUUGAACGCUGGCGGCAGGCCUAACACAUGCAAGUCGAGCGGAUGAAGGGAGCUUGCUCCUGGAUUCAGCGGCGGACGGGUGAGUAAUGCCUAGGAAUCUGCCUGGUAGUGGGGGAUAACGUCCGGAAACGGGCGCUAAUACCGCAUACGUCCUGAGGGAGAAAGUGGGGGAUCUUCGGACCUCACGCUAUCAGAUGAGCCUAGGUCGGAUUAGCUGGUUGGUGGGGUAAAGGCCUACCAAGGCGACGAUCCGUAACUGGUCUGAGAGGAUGAUCAGUCACACUGGAACUGAGACACGGUCCAGACUCCUACGGGAGGCAGCAGUGGGGAAUAUUGGACAAUGGGCGAAAGCCUGAUCCAGCCAUGCCGCGUGUGUGAAGAAGGUCUUCGGAUUGUAAAGCACUUUAAGUUGGGAGGAAGGGCAGUAAGUUAAUACCUUGCUGUUUUGACGGUACCAACAGAAUAAGCACCGGCUAACUUCGUG